rnacentral:RNase_P_RNA from 1 species
AAGCAAUCGCUGGUCACUUGUUGAUUAGAGGAAAGUCCAUGCUCGCACAUUCUGAGAUGAAUGUAGUGUUUAAGUUAGUAUAAAAAAUAAAGCUAAGUACUUUGGAGAAAGUAACGGCGAAGGGAAGUCUAAAAGUUUACUCAUGAUGUACCUUUGUAACGUGCCACAGUGACGAACAGCCCGAAAGGGUGAGAUGAAACGUGGUAAACCCCUUAAGCGAGAAACUCAAAUUUUGGUAGAGGAAAUCGAUUAAAAGAAAUGAAUUUUAAUUGGUAAGUGAAAACUUAGAUAAAUGGUUGCAUAAACAUAACAUGGCUUAUG